UAAUUGAAUUAUUAAUCUGAGUUCCAAAUUGAUAGUUUAGUGUAUUUUUUGAGACUCAAUCAAUUAAUUGGCAAUUCAUUCCUUUUGAGUGGUGCCCCCGAAGACUUUAUUCAUUAAAGUUAUUUAUGAUCAUUUUUGAUAAUUUUGAUAGCUAUAAUUAAUUGAUCACACCUACACAAGUGGGCGCCCCCCUUUUAACCAUUGUAAACCCCAUCUCAUCACGCCCACAAGAUGAGGCCACAAUAACGGUGACAAUACACCAGGAACAUGCUUUCAUGGUUGACACAGCCUCUUAUUCAUUCAUCGGAAAAGCCGGCUCAGAGCUCCCCCUUACCAGUUCAUCAGUCAAGACUAUAGGCUUUUCUGGGAAAGUACAAGUGAUACCCCUAACACAGCCGGUCCCGAUGUUACUUACAGGAAAAACUAUUGUUGCUGUAUUCAGACAGCACGCCAACUAAUUUACUAGGAAGAGACAUUUUAUGUCCUUUAAAGUCCAACAUAAUGUGCACACAUAGACUUUCCUAAAAGUCCAUCAGCAGGAAUGAUGCCAGAACAGACAUCAGGGGGUGCAUCAGGGUCAUGAGGGUAGAAAAACUACGAAAGGGAAAUUAUGGAAAAUCGGAAUAAUACUUAAAGUAUUAUGAAUACAAUAUUUGCCACAGACAAAACUAGUCACAGAGCAGUUGAGUGACUGCGCCUUAGCAGUAGGAGUUGUAGCAGCAUAACAAGAUAAACUGCUACUGCAUAAAACAGUGGAACUUACUUACACUGUAUAUCGGCUCAGUCACUCAUAACCAAACAUUAACCCUAGGCCCAAAAGCUACUUAAUUGGACACUGUUCCUGUAGAUUAACGAUGCAGCGAUGAGGGGGUGGUGAGUGUAACAGUAAACUGCUCAAAAGAUCAAUGUAUAAACGUUAAUUCCGAAUUUCCAAAUCUAUUACCAUAAAAGUAGCCACUAAAUUGGUGAGACUGUAAACAAUGUUGCAGUUUUAUGGUCAUUCAGUACAAUCAGAGAGAUAUCCAUUAUUACCACCACCUACCAACAUUUGUAGGCAGGAGAUUCAUUGCAGUGAGUGGCGAACAAAAGUUUACACAGUGCCAGAAGGAGUGACUUUAGAAUGUACCUACAAUUUAGUGCAGCUGGAAUAUGCAUACUGCAUGCCACUGUAUACCAAAACUAAGAUAGAAGUCAUUACACUAAAAGUAGGGCAGAGCCUACUGUUCAGUACACAUACCACACUAGGAAAGUGUGGGAGGGAAGACAUAGAGCAGGUUUCUAACAGAUAUAAUCUUGGCAGAAGGCCUGGGAUACGAUUGGACAAACAACUCCAGGACCACUGGAGGCAGGAUGGAUGACUAUGCUGGACAAUACUGGACACACUGAACACUACGCAUGUUCUAGGAGAACUCUACUAACACAUUGGACAGCAAAGGACACUGGACAUAACUGGACACCAUAUUACACACUGGACAUUGUUCUGUAUUUACCUCACAUUUAAGAGCAAGGUAUAAUGUAUCCCAGUAGUGGUCCCCUUAGUAAAGAUGUAUUUGUCCCUUAGCUUGCUCAAUUCAGACUAACAAAAAAACAGCCCACCCCAUUCCUAAUGAUUGAACCCACAAUAUGUGUUGUAUAUGUAUUAUUCAAUGUUUGAUGUUUGUUUGGUUUUAUGUUUAUGGUUUUAAUACAGUAUCCAUGUUGGCGAAGUAUAGAUGCACAUGUUUGAACCUGUUUUUGUUUUACACUGUUUAGUCAGUAUUGUUGUCAUGGAAUGCCCUGUUGCUAAUUCGGGACAUCCUAUGGCAAUAACCCAAAGGGGCAGAGAGGGAUGGGACUGGUGAGUCCUAAAGGGCGGAAAUGACGUAGUUAAUUGCAUUUAUGACGUUACUUAUCUUAUUUAUCUUCAUUAGAUGUGCCAUGUGUUAUGAAAUGCCUUGACACAUGUCAUAUAGCUAACUUGUGCACUUAUUAUAUUGAUUGAAUCUACAUAGAAGACUAAUAUUGCAUGCCCAGACAAAUUAUGAUGUUACUUAUAACUGACUGAAGAUAAAAGAAUGUUAAAACAUAUAAAAUGUGACAAAAGCAUGUUAAAGACAUAUAGUGUGUUAUGUGUGAAAAGUGUUAAAGUUUUUAAAAAAUAUGGUCAGGAACUCCUUGGAGACAAUGGUGUAAAAAAAAAAAAAAAACCCCAGCCUAAACUGGCCUAGACUGGUCUGACCAGGCUCAGGUAGGAGGAGCAGGUAAAUUUCCAGGGAAAGUUGGGGAUUUUCAACUCGCCCCAAAUAAGGAAACGUGACACCAUUGUUUCCAGGAGUAACCUGAGUAGUUUUAAGAAAAUUAGGUGGGGAAUUCCCCAGAUAGGAGGGACUUAUAGGCUAUAAAAGACAUGUACAAGGCUCUGAAUGUCAGUUGGUUCCCGGGGACCACUUUAGCUUCUUGUGAAAGAAAUAAACUCUGUGCAUCAAA